UGGGGAAUAUUGCACAAUGGGCGCAAGCCUGAUGCAGCCAUGCCGCGUGUAUGAAGAAGGCCUUCGGGUUGUAAAGUACUUUCAGCGGGGAGGAAGGUGUUGAGGUUAAUAACCUCAGCAAUUGACGUUACCCGCAGAAGAAGCACCGGCUAACUCCGCGCCAGCAGCCGCGGUAAUACGGAGGGUGCACGCGUUAAUCGGAAUUACUGGGCGUAAAGCGCACGCAGGCGGUCUGUCAAGUCGGAUGUGAAAUCCCCGGGCUCAACCUGGGAACUGCAUUCGAAACUGGCAGGCUAGAGUCUUGUAGAGGGGGGUAGAAUUCCAGGUGUAGCGGUGAAAUGCGUAGAGAUCUGGAGGAAUACCGGUGGCGAAGGCGGCCCCCUGGACAAAGACUGACGCUCAGGUGCGAAAGCGUGGGGAGCAAACA
rnacentral:rRNA from 1 species